GAUGAACGCUGGCGGCGUACUUAACACAUGCAAGUCGAACGAUGAAGCCCAGCUUGCUGGGUGGAUUAGUGGCGAACGGGUGAGUAACACGUGAGUAACCUGCCCUUAACUCUGGGAUAAGCCUGGGAAACUGGGUCUAAUACCGGAUAGGAGCGCCUACCGCAUGGUGGGUGUUGGAAAGAUUUAUCGGUUUUGGAUGGACUCGCGGCCUAUCAGCUUGUUGGUGAGGUAAUGGCUCACCAAGGCGACGACGGGUAGCCGGCCUGAGAGGGUGACCGGCCACACUGGGACUGAGACACGGCCCAGACUCCUACGGGAGGCAGCAGUGGGGAAUAUUGCACAAUGGGCGAAAGCCUGAUGCAGCGACGCCGCGUGAGGGAUGACGGCCUUCGGGUUGUAAACCUCUUUCAGUAGGGAAGAAGCGAAAGUGACGGUACCUGCAGAAGAAGCACCGGCUAACUACGUG
rnacentral:rRNA from 1 species